rnacentral:sRNA from 1 species
UUUUUUCAAAAACAUUUUGGUUUUUCUACGCCUUAGAUGAAUGCAGAUUCAAGAGUAUAUACAAUGCAACACACACUUCCUGAGCCCUCCCCCAAACUUAAAUCACACAAUCCUCUGUGUGACCAAAUUUGGAAGAGAGUACUCAGGAAAAAACACAUCACAAAAACAAAGUAUAAACAAGAGAUGGUAUAGUACAAUGGUGAAGCGAGACGCUUACCUCAGUCGAAGAAUGAACGAGUUGGUCGUCAAUGGCUGCAUGUGAUUGCUCCCAGGCCAUUGAAGAGUCGACAUGUUCUAUCUAAGCUCCAGCAUGUGGGUACUCAACCUCAUUGCCUCUAU